AAUUAAUUGCAAACAAAGUAAACAAGUAAAUUGUAAUUCUUUAAAAAAUGCUGCACAAUGUGACUUUAAGAUCUUCGGUUAUUGAUAACACCCGUGUUUCUUUGCUAACCAUCCAUAAGAUAAAUUCUUUUGUAUCUUGAUUCUCCUAUAACAAGUGAUAUCUGGGGGACAGCCAGUGCUUUCCAUGAGAUUUUUCCCUUCUGCAACAGAAGACUGAUGUGUUUGGAGAUCCUUUAUCCUUUGCUUAGUGAGUGAAGACACCAAGGCUGCUUCUCUGGAGGACGCAUACCAGUCAGGAGCAUACUCGGGUCUGCUCACCCCUGUGCUGGCCAGCAGCAGCUCUCCAAGGUGCCUCCCCUGUUCCAGCAGUGCUGAACUUCUCUAAGUGGCACCCAUGACCGCUAGCUAGAAUUUCAUUACAAGAUUUUCUCAAUUGAGUGGACAUGUGCCAAAUUAAUGCUUGUCCUGUGGCCACGGCUAUACAUGGGGACCCAUUUCAUAGCGAGAAUCUUUGGCAUUUUUUUCCCCUCAUUAACACUGGUAGUUAAUUUGCUGUUGCUGUUAGUCAGUGCUGCUGUCAGAUUGGUUUUGUCUUUCUCCCCUUGCUCCCAGAAAGGAAGAGGGUUUCCUGCUUCACUCCUGGUGCACGUCGCCGUUGCAUCAUGCAGUUAUCAUCUCCAGGCUGUGCCCCUUCUCCGAUUUUGUUUUGAUACUUGUCUUCCAACACCUGGAGCUGCAGGAAGAUUUCCAUCUGACAGACCUGCCAGCCUUGCCACUGCUCUUGGCUUUGAGCUGCUCUGAAGUGGGUGAAGUGGAAGUGAGAGCCUGUCCAUGCCUUGGAGUGCUCCCUCCUCCUUGGACAUGCCCAGCACCACGAACGACAACCUAAACAUCUCUGCGUGGGAUGCAGCCUCCCCGGUCUGCACGUUUCAGAGCUGCCAGUCAUACUGCCCUAACUGAGCUGGGGGCUGCUUCUCCUUUUUCAAUUUUUUAAUUUAUUGCUUGUUUACAUGGAAAAUUGGAAAAAAUUAGCCUGGACUAACUAAAGGCUUGAAUUUAAAGUGGUUUCAUUCAGCUGCAUUCGGCCUCCAUGUGGACAGAAUUACAGAAACCUUUAUUUGGUUUGUUGUGAUUUGCCUCCAAAAUGCAUUAAGAUAAACCAAAUUAAGGUCAUUUUUGUUCCAAAGAAAUAUUUUAUGUAUGCUCAUUCAUUUUAAAAGUUCUUAGAUUAAUUUUGCAGAAAAUGUCCCUGUGCAGACACAUCAACAUUCCUAAUAAUAUUUGGCUGAAACACGAGAUAAUAGCAAAGUCCAGGCUCAAAUAAAAGGGAUGAAUCAUCUCUAAAUCACAUGUUACGAUAUAAUAGGAUAAAGGACAAUUGUUUUGCUGGAGAGAAACUUCCAUGCACAGACCAGAUGUAGUGUCAGCCACAGCUCUCACCCAGCAAAUUGACCGGUGGCAGCGUCUGAUUCCCCAGGAUUUGUCUCUGAGGACCCCACAAAUGAGCACAGGACUGAAGCAGACCUGAUCCAGGGACAUGUCAGGUGCCCUGUCCCCACGGAGCUGUAAGGUACACGAGUGCUGCUGCCAGGCUGUGGAUGCUGUGUCCCGCAUCCUCUGGUCCAUCAUGAGAGCCACAGGGUCACCCGGUGCUCCUGGGCACACAGCUCUGAAACCUGGGGCACUCCAUAAGAACCCAAAAUGUUACCUCAUAUUUUCAUUAGUACAUCCCCAAAUCGGACCAGUGAAUUUUAUGAUGGAGGUGACUCCCUCUGCCAGUAAAAAUAUAACAGACUGAAAUGCCUACCCAUUACUUAAGCACACAAGGACCCAUUCUCAUAGCCUUCAUCUCCUGUGCCCCUGGAAAAACAGUUCCUUGGAAAUUACAUUGUUGUUGGACUGAGGUGAAAGCUCGAAGAGAGAGCUGUGACUCCAUGUCAAGAGAUCUUCUGGCAGCUGAAGAACAGAGCAGAAGAUUUCUGCAUCCCAGACAAGUUGCUGUAGAAAUCACACUUUUAAAAACUUGAAAGCUCAAAGAACCAACUGCACAACCCUGCGGUCAUAUUUCCCAUGUUUGGCACCCUGCCACAGGCACUAGGAGCACAGGCCCGUUGAUGCUGGACUGCUGCUUCAUGCUCAAUGAUCUCACGGAUGUGCAGAGUGAAGAAACAUAAUUCCCAGUGAAGACAGGGGGCAGGGUUGAGCUGACCUUUGGAAGAGUGAAAAGAGGGAGAUGUUCCACCGCUUCUCUGCUACCACCUUAAAGCCAAUGGGAGCUUAAACUUCAUCUGGGUGAAAGUGAUGGCAAGGAAAGGACAGAGAGCGGCUGCUACCUCCGGCUAUGCUCCAUCGCGAGGGGAGAAUAGAAAGGGAGAGGAUGUUUUAGCCCUUGACUGCCAUUUAUUCCAGCACUUACAAAAAAAAAAAAAAAAAUAUAUAUAUAUAUAUAUUAAAUCCUAAUGCUGAAACACCUAUUAAAAAGAGUACUAAACCACGGCAGAAGAGUGUCUGUGAGGUAGGGCUUUUUGCAUUAACCCAGCAGAUUUUUUAUUUUAUUUAUUUUUUACUGUAAAUGAACUCUCACUGGCUUUCUUUAAAGGUCACCUUUUUUUUAACUACUGUGCUGGGAAAAUGCUUUUAAGUUUCAUCUGCUUUGUGUGUGUGCAUUUUCUAAGCCCUGGGUUUACUUCUUAUUGGAAAAUGGUCUUGGAUCAUGUCUGAGUUGGAAAUUUUAUUCUAUUUGUCAGGUGCAUGUGAAAAAGACAUUUUUUUCUUUAACUCUUUAGACACCCAAUUUAUCGUUUUCAUUGGGUACUCAGCACCAUUCCUUUAGACCUCAAGAUGCAAACCAAAAGCUGCCUGCUGCCUCCGCCAGCAUCUGGGACACGGACAUUCCCUGUUUCUUUGUCUGUCUCUGCUUUGGCACACAGAGGGGCUUGCACGGACUCUUUCAAUUCUGCUGGGUUGCUGACGAGCUGUUAUCUGCUGCUGCUGCUGCUGCCACUGCCAACAGCUCCGCAGAGGCUGCUUCUCCUGCAACAACCCCACAGUUGGCGAGAAGUCUGGAGGUUUCAAGUGUUGUGCUCCUGGCUGCAAUCGGUCCGUAGCCUAUGGAUGUUCAUGGGCAAAGUAAAGCUUUGCAAAAUUGGAUAGUGAAUCCAAAAUGUUAUUACAUCCUUCUACACAUUUGGUACCUUUGAGAAAAAAGGCUAUGUGCUGACAAGCAGCACCAAGAAGAGAACAGUUCUGUAGGGAUGCACCAACUCAGUUUGCAACCUUAAAUCCUUAUUAGGGAUUAGCUUGCUCACCAAAACCUGUUACGUGAGGAUUGCUGAUAGACAAAUAGAUUUUCACGGGGUGCCCAAGCCAGCUCAUAUUAUCCAGACUUUGUCCAUUCUUGGCCAGACCUUAAAGCAGUAAUUCUCAUGAGAUGUCUCAGUUGUAGGAGGGUGAGGAAGAAGCAGAGCAGCACAAACACCCACGCGAAAUGCAUCAGUCAUUUUCCAGGGGAAGACCAGUUAGCCCAAACCCAUUUGCUUGACUCCUCAAGCUCAUUUGCUUUGCCAGAGCCCUGGGCCAGAACAAGCGUUGCUCUCCACCACAUAUUUUUUAUGCUUUUGUGUAGAAUUCCCUUAAAAGGAGCUGUAACGAAUGGCUUCCCUGAACAUAUAACACAAUUUCUGUAUUUAUUGAUUACAAAGCAGCACUGUCUCAAAAGCAAACUCCCAGGACACUCCAUAUGCAAGUGUGUCACAUAGCUCUUUGGUAUUUAUCAACUUCCGUUGUUCAAACUAGUUAGAUUUUUGCUUCAUUAAUCACAUUGAGAGGCUGUUCCUGAACCUUGCGCCUUUGAUUGCUAGAAUUACAUUUCUGAUUUCCAUCUUAACUUAUUUAUAGCCAGUUGAUUCAUGUUGCCACAUAAGUAAUACUAGAAAUACAAAAAUAAAAAAUGAUAUUUAACAAUCUGUCUAGACUGAGGACAGAGAACAAGUAGAAAAUGCAUAUUCUUAUUGUUAACUAAGCAUAUGGUGGCAUAUUUUGCUCAUAGGAAUUUACAUUUUAAGAGCAGCUGAGCAGCCUAUAUAGAUGUUACUUUAUGAAACCAAGCCAUGGCCUGGUCAGCACGGUCACCUGCACUCACAGCUGCAAGGCACCCAAUUUCCAUCAUGCCACUGUUCUUUGUAGCAUGAGUAGAAAUCAGAAAGUCACUGAUUUCAUCCAAAGGUAUGUGGGCCUUUAUCUACUGAGUGCUUUGCCUUUGAGAGGAUAGACGUCGUUGGUGCAGCCUUUUUUAUUCAUAUUCUUGUAAGAAUAGAGAUCAGCUCUUCUGCUUUGGAUUGUACAACAAUAAAGUUCAUGUUACAGCCAAAUUCCAGAUGCACAGAAACUCUAUCGUCUCCAGGAGAUAUUGUCCAUCCCAUCACUUGAAAGCCAAAAGACUACAUCUGAAACUAUUUCAUCUUCAAAAGGAUCUGCCUUCCACUAGAAUAUGUCUAUGUGGAGCUAUGAAAAGAUAGUUAUUUGUUAGUGUUUCCUAGCAAUGGCAUAAGUACUGUCAGUUAGAAAUGCUGAAGAAUGGUAUUUCACAAAGACACACUCGAGAGAGUAUCUUAUCCCUCUCCUCUAGAGGAGGUAAUGUGGUGUAAAACCGCACAGCUUGCUUGCUUUGCCAGCACUAGGUUGUAAUCAAGCUAUCAUCACCUGCACGAUCCAAAGUGUUCCUUGGUAUUUGAGUUUCCCAGGCCCGGUUCGGGGCCUCAGCCCCUGCAGGGAGCAGGGUGUCCCGCACGGCCAAGGGCUGAUCUCCAUUGCUGCCGACACCAUGCUCACCUGGCCCAUGGGCAGGAGUCCCAGAGCUGGCACACUGCUGCUGGAAAGGCUGGAGCAUCUCACACAUGCCACAUUUUUUCCCUUGGUGCGUGUACAUAUCUGUAAAUGUGGCAUAUGUUUCUUUUCCAUUUGAUAACAAGAGACAUCAAAAGAUGUAUAUUGAUUUAUUGCCUACAGAACGGUGCGCUGUAAUAUGGCUGCAAGAUCCCACUGAAUCUUCUAAGUCAACAGCUCCAGCCCCUUCACAGUGAGCAAAUGGAGAAGGCUGUGAAUUAAUAACGUCCCUGACCUCCAGCCUCUGCGAGGCCAAAGAGCCAGUGGAGGAGUUAAUCCAGUAAUCCAUGUUCACAUCUGGAAGGCAGCACACCCUCUGCCUAGGCCUGGACCCAUGAAAAAGUGAAGAGAAGGAAAAACAAACAAAUCUCAGGGCUGAGGAGGGAAGGGCUGAAACCGAAGCAGAAUGGGGGGAGAGGGAAGGAUUGCAGAUAGUGAAAGCAGCAGCUCAUCUGCAGUCCCUGGCUGCAUCGUGCUUUCGUCUUGCAAAAGAGGUUUGGGGCUUUAUUUCUUCUGCCAGGAUCAGCUGGGCUUUGUGGGCACUCACUGCUGGC